UACGUAGGUGACAAGCGUUGUCCGGAUUUACUGGGCGUAAAGCGCGCGCAGGCGGCAAGGUAAGUAAGGUGUGAAAUCUGUCGGCUCAACCGGGAGGGUGCACUUUAGACUGCUUUGCUUGAGGUCGGUAGAGGGGGGUGGAAUUGCUGGUGUAGCGGUGAAAUGCGUAGAGAUCAGGAGGAACACCAAUUGCGAAGGCAGCUCGCUGGGACGUUACUGACGCUGAGACGCGAAAGCGUGGGGAGCAAACAGG
rnacentral:rRNA from 1 species